AGGGUCAUUCCACAGUAUUCCGUCUGUUGCGGAGGGGAAAUUUAGAGGUCAACUCGAUAUAAAGUUAAACAAAAUACCAAAACCAGCCAAGAAUGCCCGCAGGUGUGGCCUUUUAUCAACUUCCUGGAGAGGGAGAUCAUUAUAAACGGAACGUAGAGACUGUGUCCUUGUUUGAUCUCAAGCGAACGAAUGGUUGGUGGCCUGCAGUAGGAACGGACGAUGGACAACAAAUACUGGCGGUGAGUCACUCGAUAUGUAACGUAUAUUUGCAUACAUCACUGGGUUUAAUUGCUGGAAGUCACCUUUCACUUAACAAUCUGUCUGAUAUGUGAACAUAGGCGUACGGGCCCUUUCGGACUUGGGGGGGAGAGGGGGGGACCGUGACCAUCUUGCCCGAAAAAUUUACGCAAUUCCGGAAUGCGUGAUUGUUGAAAUAGGCAUGCAAACGCACUCAAAUUGCAUGAAAAACAAAAUCGCUCACAAUUCCUACAUCUGCUAAAGCCGUGUGGCAUGAGAUUUUCGCUUGAGUUUAAUUUCACGGAUUUUGGACUUUUCAGGUUUCGCGGGAAAAAUUUUUCGCGACUUUGGAUUUCAGGCUUUACUCCUGGGAAUAAUUUCAUGUACAGUACUUGAAAGUAGCAAAAACGGAGGCCAUAUGGUCGUUUUCGUUUUCCAGAAUCACGUGUUGGUUGAACACCGUUAGAACGUCACGUUAAAUGUGCGAGUUGUCAAAAAGUGUUGCUUAUUAUUGUUGUAAUUUAUUAUCUUGUGAGCAAUAGCGGGCAAAAAAUUUGUUUUUAUCUUUAAAUUUUCGCAAAAGUUUAGUAAUUACCCUCAUAUCCAUUUGUUUUGAAGUUGAAGGAUGUCACUCAUUUGAAAUACAGUUACACUUUACAGUUACCUGCAAUUAUUCGUUUUUUGCAGGCGGGGGCAAAAUUCGUGCCGGAUCUACUCGGAUCGCUGGUUUAAAUAAGAAUGGCAACCAUUCAAGAACAAGGCAUAUGCAAUACAUGCCAUUUUAUGUAAAUUAGCCAUCCGAGUUGAUCGGGUCCGAGGUUUGUACCUGCCCGUUUUUUACCGUCACCUCCUUGUGGUACUUUGAAAGAGCAUGCAAACGACUCCAUUUCUAAAUGUUCAUCUUCUCUAAGUUAUUCUGUGACCAAGAAACCUGCGAAGUUAACGAUGUUACCAUCGAAUUCGUCCAUAUCGACUUGGCAGAUGGCCUUUGGUGCGAAACUUAAACAAGAGAGCGCCGUGUAGUUAGUGCAUUGACAUGGGUGUUGUAUUGAAACGAUGGCCGCCAACGCGUGGACAUUUGACGUCGAAAAAGACAGGCAGAUCACCCAACAUCUGACUUUGUCCCUUCAAGCAAACGUACUUCAAGCAUCAGUGGGAUGGGUAAAGUGACGAUCAUCGCAUUGCGAUGAAUCAGAGAAAGACGACUGUUAAGAUAAUGCCGUUCUUUAAGAGGCAGAACUGGUCAGCUGAUAUCAUAAUGCUGGAGAGAGUUUCUCGUGGUUGACAUGGAGAUGAAGACGCAAUGAAAUAAAACCUGUUCCUCAAACAAGAGGAAAAAGGCAAGCAUAGAAUGGGAAAAGCUAGAAAUACACAAAGGAUAUUGGAGUUUGGAAAGAAGGGCAAUUUGAUGACGAGACUAUGACUAAUUGACAAGAUUCCAAGACAAAAUUCAGUUAGUUUUGUGGAGUCAUCAUGCAAGGAAAAGUGGAUUAUAAUAAAAUGACUUUCGACAGAAAAUUGACUGGGAUGUAUGCUGUGCUGAGGGAAAAGUCGGAAAACUGUCUUGGAUUGAUUAAGAAUGUGCGCAUUGAAAGCCAACGAGGAACAAGUCGAAAAUAAUGACCAAGUCUCUUGGCGAGAAAAUUAUUCUAGGUUAAAGAUAUUGUGCUUUUAAAAGGGACCAAAAAAA
rnacentral:lncRNA from 1 species